UCCGGGAUGGCUCAGUGGCAGAGCGCCUGCCUGUUAAGCAGGACGUCGCAGGUUCGAUCCCUGCUCCCGGAGCCA
rnacentral:tRNA from 1 species